ensembl:lncRNA
CCUCUUUCCAGGAGGGGCAGAUAGAUUGAUAGGCGUUUGAUUGAUGGAGUCUGUGUAUGAUUGAUUAGUCUUGGAGGACAAAACAAAGAAGCCAGGGCCCUUUGGCUGAGUUCCUUCAGGGGAAAUGUUUAAUCGAUGACAUCAUCCACACCAGCAUUAUCUGAACCAUGUCCAGAGUCUAACCUGUAGUUAUCCAGAGAGAAGGAUGCCUUACCUGCUCCUUAAGGACAUGGCGCCCCAAAAAACUAAACUGAACAAAUAGCAAAUAGUAAUUAUUAGCCCCUGAUCAGGAGCGGCGUCUGUGAGGUCAUCCUUCAGCGGCGACGGCAGACGCCUGCUACGUUGGUGUAGCAGCCGGCUGAUGGAUUGGACUGCCGCCCGGAGAGAGCGCCUUCGGAGAACACGCUGGUGCGUCGCGGUCUCCGGGCCGUAUGGGCCUCUGCCAGACGUCUGUACGCCUGGUCAUUGGUUGACGUUGUUCUAGUGGUAAUAGUUCAAGGGGAGCAUAAAGGUGUGCCAAACCAGGAGAAGGAGUGCCCGGUGCUUGCGCAUACCAUCAUUGACGACAACGAAACCAGAAACACCAACACUUAGAACCACUUAGAACCACAGUUUAUCGUACUUUUUACUGCUUGAUUGUUCAACAAAAU